rnacentral:sRNA from 1 species
AUCGAGAGGGACUCCGGAGAAGGAAGGCUGCUCCGCGCACCGGCGCGCCCUUCUCCUCUCCCCUCCCUACCUCCCCCUCUCUUCCCCCUUUUUUCCCCCGCCUCCCGUCUUCUUCCGCGCCUCCGAGGGUCCGCCUCUGCCUCGGGGACCCCCGGGCGGGCCGGGGCUUGGCCGCCGAGGUGCGCCCCGGCCGGAGGGGCCCCCGCACCUCGGCGGCCGCCCCCUCCGGCGCCGCGCGUUCGCGAAAGGCGCGAAAGGGGCCCCCGGAGGCUUUUUUCGAUUCCCGGCCGGGGGUCCCGGGUAGCCGCCCGGCGCCGGUCGGAAGGCGUCCCCCGCCCGGCGGUCCGGCCCGGGCCCCCGGCGGAGCGCGGGGGCCCCGGGGCCCCGGGCCGCGCCGGCGGCGUUUCCGCGUUCCGUUUCUUCUCCCUCCCGGCCGCCCCGCUCCCGGGCCCGACCCUCGCCCCUUCCCUUCUCCUCGUCUUCCCCCGUCCCGCCGCGCCCCUUCCCUCUUCCUUCUCUCUCUCUCUGGCUCGCUGUCUCGCUCUCCUCACAUUUCCCCCCCCCCGCCGCCGCCCUCUCCCCGCGUCCCACCGAGACGCCGCGCCGCGUGAGCCGUCCGCCGGGGGACCCAGGCUCCGGGGGGGGGGGCGCGCCUGCGUGUGUCUCGUGUGAGAGAGCGCGCCCCUCGAACGCCGCGCGUUCUCGCAG